GGCUUCGUAGCUCAGCUGGUAGAGUACUUGCCGCGUUGAGGCAUGAUGUUUCUGUCGUUGGUUCAACUCCAGCCGAAGCCC
rnacentral:tRNA from 1 species